rnacentral:tRNA from 1 species
CCGCCAUUAGCUCAUCAGGAAGAGCAGACGACAACCAGGAUUGUUGUAUGGUACGGGUUCGAGGCCUCGAUGGCGGUCCA